rnacentral:rRNA from 1 species
AUGGAGCUCCUGAGCGGCCCGGCGCUGGCGUGGCAGCAGUACCGCUCGCUGCUCCGCAAGAACGCGGCGCUCGCCUGGCGCCACCGGCGCUCGUCGGCGCUGCAGCUGCUCUCCUCCCUCCUCUUCAUCUUCCUCAUCUUCUGCAUCGACCGCGCCGUCCGCUCCCGCUUCUCCUACACCACCGCCUACCAGAACGUGCGCGACCCCAAGGCGCUCGUCGCGCCGCCCAUCCCGCCCUGCGAGGACAAGUUCUUCGUCAAGACCCCCUGCUACGACUUCCUCUGGAGCGGCGGCACAAGCGCCCGCGUCCCCGCGCUCGUCGACGCCAUCCGCAGGAACAACCCCGGCCGCCCGAUCCCCGCCGAGAAGGUCUUAGGUUUUACGACUCCGGAUGAAGUUGAUGCUUGGCUAUUUGCAAACCCGAUGCGCUGCCCUGGCGCUUUGCAUUUUCAAGAUAUAAAUGCCACCCAGAUGUCGUAUGGUAUUCAGACAAACUCCACUCCAGUAGCUCGAAGAGGAACGUAUGAGGACCCCACCUUCAAGUUCCAGAUACCGCUUCAAGUUGCAGCUGAGAGAGAAAUGGCAAGGUUGAUUCUUGGAGAUCCCAAUUUUAGCUGGACUGUGGGAUUCAAAGAAUUUGCUCACCCAGCAACUGAAACCUUCUCUACGAUUGCCCAAGCAGGGCCAACUUUCUUCCUUGCCAUUGCAAUGUUUGGAUUUGUUUUCCAAAUCAGUGCCUUGGUUACAGAGAAAGAACUUAAGCUUCGUCAGGCUAUGUCUAUCAUGGGGCUCUAUGAAUCGGCUUAUUGGUUAUCAUGGCUUACCUGGGAGGCCUUGCUUACAUUAAUUUCAGCACUUUUCACGGUGCUCUUUGGGAUGAUGUUCCAGUUUGACUUCUUCCUGAACAAUAGCUUUGGAAUCUUAUUCAUCCUAUUCUUCCUCUUCCAACUGAACAUGCUUGGUUUUGCUUUCAUGAUAUCCACAUUUGUGGCAAAAGCAGCAUCAGCUACUACGGUUGGAUUUGCAAUAUUCAUCAUUGGGUUCUUGACACAGCUUGUUACAACCUUCGGGUUCCCAUAUUCAAAUACCUAUGAGGCGUACUACCGGACAAUAUGGUCCUUCUUUCCUCCUAAUGUUUUUGCCCAAGCCCUCAAUAUUCUAGGUAAGGCAACAGCAACUCCAGAAGACAAAGGUAUUAGCUGGAAUCAGCGUAAAACGUGCCAAUCCUUUGAGACGGACUGCGUCAUUACAGUAGAUGACAUCUACAUAUGGCUCAUCUCCACAUUUUUCUUGUGGUUUAUCCUGGCGAUCUACUUCGACAACAUAAUUCCAAAUGUCAAUGGUGUUAGAAAGUCAGUGUUUUACUUUCUGACGCCUUCAUACUGGACAGGGAAAGGAGGCAAGAUGAGAGAGGGAGGCCUUUGUAGCUGUUUUGGUUCGAACCGGCCGGCUGAUGAUGCUAGCCCUACUGAUGAGGAUGUUCUUACUGAGGAAAAUCUAGUAAAAGAACAAGCUGCAGGCAAUGAGGUAGAUCCUGGUGUUGCGGUUCAAAUACGUGGCUUGCGGAAAACAUAUCCAGGAAGUUUUAAUAUGGGUUGCUGCAAGUGCAGAACAACUAAGCCAUUCCAUUCUGUCAAAGGCUUAUGGGUGAACCUUGAGAAGGACCAGCUAUUUUGUCUUCUUGGCCCAAAUGGAGCUGGUAAAACAACUACAAUCAGUUGCCUGACUGGUAUCACACCAAUUACUGGCGGCGAUGCUUUGAUUUAUGGUCAUUCCGUUCGAAGCACUGCGGGCAUGUCUAAUAUUCGCAGAAUGAUUGGAGUCUGUCCGCAGUUUGACAUCCUCUGGGAUGCAUUGACGGCUAAGGAGCACAUGGAGUUGUUUGCCAGCAUCAAGGGGUUGCCAUCAUCAACAAUCAAGUCGGUAUCAGAACAGUCACUAGCCCAAGUGAAGCUCAGCCAGGCAGCUAAUGUUAGAGCAGGUAGCUACAGUGGUGGAAUGAAACGGCGGUUAAGUGUUGCGAUUGCUCUAAUUGGUGACCCAAAAUUGGUGUUUCUUGAUGAGCCGACAACUGGCAUGGAUCCAAUAACAAGGAGGCAUGUCUGGGACAUCAUCGAGGAGGCAAAGAAGGGAAGAGCUAUUGUAUUGACCACACAUUCAAUGGAAGAAGCUGACAUCUUAAGUGACCGAAUCGCUAUCAUGGCAAAGGGGAGAUUGCGGUGUAUCGGCACUUCGAUAAGGCUGAAGUCGAAAUUUGGAACUGGGUAUAUCGCUAAUGUGAAUUUCUCGGGGAAUGGUCACACACAGAGCCCUAACAUCAAUGGUGAUGCAGAGGCCCCAGUUAAUCCUAACAUAGAAUCUGUCAAAUCAUUCUUCAAGGAAAGGCUUGAUGUGGACCCGAAAGAGGAAAGCAGGACAUUCUUAACGUUUGUCAUCCCCCAUGAGAAAGAACCACUUCUGACGAGGUUCUUCGGGGAACUCCAAGACAGGGAAAGGGAAUUCGGGAUAUCAGACAUUCAGCUUGGUCUUACGACACUUGAAGAAGUCUUCCUGAACAUUGCAAAGCAAGCUGAGUUGGAGAGCUCUACCGCCGAAGGGACACUAGUGACUCUUAACCUGUCAUCCGGAGCAUCAAUUCAGAUACCGAAGGGGGCGCGUUUCGUGGGCAUUCCUGGAACCGAGACGGAGGAGCAUCCGAGAGGAGUCAUGGUGGAGGUGUUCUGGGACCAGGAUGACAACGGAAUGCUCUGCGUCUCUGGUCACUCUGACGAAACCCCUGUGCCGGCAAACGUGGAGCUGACAAGGCCUCCUUCGCUUUCGCGCAGGGCGUCAGUCGGCCGCGGAGGCCCUGUGGGGUACGUCAUUGACGAAAACCAGGUCCCAACAACAAGAUGA